GAUAGAUUUGGUUCUAGAUUGCCUACAUACCCUUUGCGGGAUCAAACCACAUGUAGUUCCGGCUUUUGAGAUUUAAAUGAGUAGAUGACCCAUUUAUUUUGGAUUUGUGUUUGAGAGAUUUGAAAGGUUUAGAGCCUUUGAAUGAUUUGAUUUUCUGGUGCUGGGAGAAUUUGACUAGAGUCAGUGAUUCAUUUGGGACUGGCUGAAUUUGACUGGUGGAGUCAGGGAUUCUGCUUGGAGUUGCGGUUGCAUCUAGUGGGUCGCUAGACUGCCUACAUACCCUGUGAAGGGAUCAAACCACUGUAGUUCAUCAGAAUUGGUAUUUCGGUUUUGUACCGAUUUUUAUUCAACGAGUGUGAAUUUUGAACUCAUCGAGAACAUAUUUUGGUGGACACCCGAUUUUAGUAGAGCGUCCACUGAUUUGAUUUGGGAGCUUUUAACAGGCCUUGAGACUUGAAACGGGAUUUGGGCUGCUUUGAAGUUUAUUGAGCGUGAUAAUGGUUUGAAGUAGGCUCUGUAGUGCACCGAAAAGAUUGCAAGGCAUAGAGUGAUAUGGACACCCAUUAAUUUUACAUAUGCACCCAACUUGAGCCCAAUUUUCGUCUUCGACAAAUAGAAACUCAAAGACCCGCAGUAGACUUCCAUUGGAAUUGCACGAGUACGGCACCGCUUCAAUUAGCCCUUUUAUUUUUAUUUUUUAUUCAUGCCACCGAUUCAAUUGCAUAAUUUAUCUCUUUUUCAAAGACCUGGACAGUAGCUUUCUGUCAUCUUGCCAUUUGAUCCCCAUUUCAGAAUAAAGCUACAACAGCACCAUGGUUUGAUAAUUAUGCAUUUUGUCUUCAAGUGUAAUGGAAGACGUGAUCAUCACUUUGGCAUGGUCUUUCUUUACUCUUCUUGUAUUACUAAACCAUUAUCCCACCGCUUUAUGGUCACAAAGCUUAAUUAAACAAUUAAACUUUUGACCUUUCAAAGCCUCUCUUAUUUUCAAAGCAGUUUUGCAACAACUUUAGACAAGGCCAUGAAACUUUUGACUAGGCGUGCUGAUCAAUUUCCCACUGCCAAGCUUUUCUUCUUUUUCUAUGUCGGCACCUCAUCAAGCUUUUUUUCUUUCUUGUCGGCUACCGUGAAUGUUUAGAUAUUAGCACAUGUAAUUGGAACUCCUCUUCAAUAUGCAGUGUCACCACCGGUUCAUUCUUUCUUUAUUUUGCAGUUACCAGUGAGUGAACUGGUGCUUUGGGAAGGGAACAAGAAUCCAGGAAAAGCUGUUUGGUUGCAGUGGCGUGGUGCAGGUACGUCAAGGGCCUUGGCAAAGCUCCAGUAGUGGCACAUCCGAAAGGAGAGGUGCGGGCUUCGUCAGCAGCAAUAGUAAUUUGCACCAGAAACAAUUAUGUGCGAGUGCAGAAGAGGUUUGAUGGAGCUUGUCUUCGUUAAAGCUCCGUUGACACUCUGUUUGCUGCUGCAAAGCCCUUGUUGGUACUCAACAAGGCUUAGAAAAUUCCACCGGAUUGGUCAUACACCCGUUGAUACACAUGUAUCGUAAACGAGAUUGCGACCGCUCCGGGGACCUCCAUAGCUCCAUGGUGACACAGGUAUAAGAGACGUUGCAUUUAUUUGCUAGGAGAGCACCAUCAUUUGCUGAAGCAGCAACCCUUCACUAGGAGAGCACCAUCAUUUGUUGACAUAGUGGUCCUUCACCAGGAGAGCACCUCAUGGGGAUGGUGUUGUGGUUCUGAUGCGUGCCAGAGAGACUAUUGUGGGCAGCAGCUUGACUUCUCCGUGAUUGCCGAUGUGGUAAUCGCCUUGGUCACCGGCAGGAGAUUAUGAGGACGGAAGCAACAUAAAUACUCCAGAGAGAUUUUUGGCCUUGCUUCAUGGAUCUUAGCACUUGACAAUGUCUGCACCAUGAAAGGAAAAGUUCAGUAAUUUCAGGUGAUAAUCAUUAUAUACCUGUGACUUGUGGAGCUUCUUCUACUGAAAUGUGGUCUUCCGUCCGUGGCUUCUCUUGGAAAGUUUUAAGGAUGGAAUGCUGUAGGACUCCGGUCUCGUGUGAACUCUUUGAUUUGUUCUCCUCUUUCUUGUGUGCUUCCGUGCUGCUGGCUUUUGCUUUUUAAUGUUGCAGAGCUUUCACUUCUUUUUUUUUUGUUCUGCUCUCUAGCCUCCUUCUCCUUUGAUGUAGAGAAUGUGCCUCUUUAUAGGCAACACCGGAUCAGCUGAGAUUAGAAUUGUUAUCAAUUCAAAUUCAAAUUUCGGUUAUAAUCGCAUCCGUGAAUUUGAAUUGAAAUGAUAUUUGCAGCAACCAACUUCCACGUUUGAAGCCUCUGGUGGGUUUUGUUAAUUCAAACCUCAUUUUCCUUGACCAGAUCUUUCGUCUGUAGGAGGUGAAGAGUAUCUAAAACUCUUGUUUUGAAA